rnacentral:rRNA from 1 species
AACGGCGAGUGAAGCGGCAACAGCUCAAAUUUGAAAUCUGGCCCUUGGGUCCGAGUUGUAAUUUGGAGAGGGUGCUUUGGCGUUGGCUGCGGCCCAAGUCCCUUGGAAAAGGGCGUCUUAGAGGGUGAAAGCCCCGUACUUGGCCGUCCGCGUUCGCCGUGUAAAGCCCCUUCGAAGAGUCGAGUUGUUUGGGAAUGCAGCUCUAAAUCGGGAGGUACACUUCUCCUAAAGCUAAAUACCGGCCAAAGACCGAUAGCGCACAAGUAGUGUGAACGAAAGAUGAAAAGCACUUUGGAAAGAGAGUCAAAAAGCACGUGAAAUCAUUGGAAGGGAAGCGCUUGCAGCCAGACGUGCCUGCGGUGUUCAUCCGGGCUUCUGCCCGGUGCACUCUCCGCGUGGCAGGCCAGCAUCGGCUCGGGUGGUUGGAUAAGGGCUCGCUAAACGUACCUCCCCCGGGAGGACUUAUAGGGCGAGCAAGAUACAACCAGCCCGGGUCGAGGUCCGCGCUUCGGCGAGGAUGCUGGCGUAAUGGUGGCAAGCGGCCCGUCUUGAAACACGGACCAAGGAGUCUAACGUCUAUGCGAGUGUUUGGGUGUCAAGCCCGGACGCGCAAUGAAAGUGAACGGAGGUGGGAUCCCUUCGGGGUGCACCAUCGACCGAUCCUGAUGUCUUCGGAUGGAUUUGAGUAAGAGCAUGAGCGUUGGGACCCGAAAGACGGUGAACUAAGCCUGAAUAGGGUGAAGCCAGAGGAAACUCUGGUGGAGGCUCGCAGCGGUUCUGACGUGCAAAUCGAUCGUCAAAUUUGGGCUUAGGGGCGAAAGA